rnacentral:rRNA from 1 species
GACGAACGCUGGCGGCGUGCUUAACACAUGCAAGUCGAACGCUCAAGCUUGGUGCUUGCUCUGGGUGGAUGAGUGGCGAACGGGUGAGUAAUACGUGAGUAACCUGCCCUUGACUCUGGGAUAAGCCUGGGAAACUGGGUCUAAUACUGGAUAUGACAUGCCACUGCAUGGUGGUGUGUGGAAAGGGUUUUCCUGGGUUUGGAUGGGCUCACGGCCUAUCAGCUUGUUGGGGUGGUAAUGGCAUACCAAGGCAACGACGGGUUGCCGGCCCGAGAGGGUGACCGGCCACAAGGCGCCUGAGACACGGAGCAGACGCCUACGGGACGCAGCAGUGGAGAAUAUUGCACAAUGGGCGGACGUCUGAUGCAGCGAUCUCGCGUGCGGGAUGACGGCCUUCGGGUUGUAAACCUCUGUCUGCGUGGAAGAAGCGGGAGUGACGGUACGUGCAGAGGAAGCGACGGCUAACUACGUG